rnacentral:misc_RNA from 1 species
UCGUAACAAGGUUUCCGUAGGUGAACCUGCGGAAGGAUCAUUACUGAUUUGCUUAAUUGCACCACAUGUGUUUUUUAUUGAACAAAUUUCUUUGGUGGCGGGAGCAAUCCUACCGCCAGAGGUUAUAACUAAACCAAACUUUUUAUUUACAGUCAAACUUGAUUUAUUAUUACAAUAGUCAAAACUUUCAACAACGGAUCUCUUGGUUCUCGCAUCGAUGAAGAACGCAGCGAAAUGCGAUACGUAAUAUGAAUUGCAGAUAUUCGUGAAUCAUCGAAUCUUUGAACGCACAUUGCGCCCUUUGGUAUUCCAAAGGGCAUGCCUGUUUGAGCGUCAUUUCUCCCUCAAACCCCCGGGUUUGGUGUUGAGCAAUACGCUAGGUUUGUUUGAAAGAAUUUAACGUGGAAACUUAUUUUAAGCGACUUAGGUUUAUCCAAAAACGCUUAUUUUGCUAGUGGCCACCACAAUUUAUUUCAUAACUUUGACCUCAAAUCAGGUAGGACUACCCGCUGAACUUAAGCAUAUCAAUAA